UACGGAGGGGGCUAGCGUUGUUCGGAAUUACUGGGCGUAAAGCGCACGUAGGCGGCUUUGUAAGUUAGAGGUGAAAGCCCGGGGCUCAACUCCGGAAUUGCCUUUAAGACUGCAUCGCUAGAAUUGUGGAGAGGUAAGUGGAAUUCCGAGUGUAGAGGUGAAAUUCGUAGAUAUCAGGAGGAACACCGGUGGCGAAGGCGGCUUCCUGGACACUUACUGACGCUGAGACGCGAAAGCGUGGGGAGCAAACAGG
rnacentral:rRNA from 1 species